rnacentral:rRNA from 1 species
AGAGUUUGAUCAUGGCUCAGGACGAACGCUGGCGGUGUGCUUCACACAUGCAAGUCGAACGGGGUAGCAAUACCCAGUGGCGGACGGGUGAGUAACGCGUAGGAAUCUGCCUUUAGGUGGGGGAUAACAGUUCGAAAGAACUGCUAAUACCGCAUAUGUAUGUACUUCGACAGUUGUACAUAUAAAAGGAGCAAUUUGCC